rnacentral:rRNA from 1 species
AUUGAACGCUGGCGGCGUGCCUAAUACAUGCAAGUCGAACGCAGUGGGGACGGGUGAGUAACACGUGGGUAACCUCCCAUCAGAGGGGAUAACACUUGGAAACAGGUGCUAAACCGAUACUGAUGGAUGGACCCAUAUGGGAUUAGCUCGUAUGUGGGGUAAAGGCUCCCCAAGGCGACGAUAUCUAGCAGGCCUGGUAGGGUGUUCAGCCACAGGGAGACUGCGAAACGGCCCAGACUCCUACGGGAGGCAGCAGUGGGGAAUAUUGCACAAUGGGCGCAAGCCUGAUGGAGCCAUUCCGCUUGUAUGAUGAAGGCCUUAGGGUUGUAAAGUUCUUUCAUCUGGGAGGCGUUACCCGCAGAAGAAGCAACGGCUAACUCCGUGCCAGCAGCCGCGGUAAUUC